rnacentral:rRNA from 1 species
GACGAACGCUGGCGGCGUGCUUAACACAUGCAAGUCGAACGGAAAGGCCCUGCUUUUGUGGGGUGCUCGAGUGGCGAACGGGUGAGUAACACGUGAGUAACCUGCCCUUGACUUUGGGAUAACUUCAGGAAACUGGGGCUAAUACCGGAUAGGAGCUCCUGCUGCAUGGUGGGGGUUGGAAAGUUUCGGCGGUUGGGGAUGGACUCGCGGCUUAUCAGCUUGUUGGUGGGGUAGUGGCUUACCAAGGCUUUGACGGGUAGCCGGCCUGAGAGGGUGACCGGGCAGAGUGGGACAAAGUGGCGGAGCAGACGGCUGCGGGAGGCAGAAGUGCGGAGUCGGGCAGGAUGGGCGGAGGCCUGAAGCAGGAAUGCCGCGUGGGGGAGGAGGGAGUGCGGGUGGUAAACAAAGAUCCCCCGUGAACAAGCGUGAAUGACGGCGAGGUGGAGAGAAGCAGAGCCCAACUAGGCU